AGAAACCAUUGAUGGAGAUGGUCU
rnacentral:siRNA from 1 species